rnacentral:rRNA from 1 species
UACGUAGGGUGCUAGCGUUAUCCGGAUUUACUGGGCGUAAAGGGUGCGUAGGCGGUUUUUUAAGUCUGAUGUGAAAGCCCACGGCUCAACCGUGGAGGGUCAUUGGAAACUGGAAAACUUGAGUGCAGAAGAGGAAAGUGGAAUUCCAUGUGUAGCGGUGAAAUGCGCAGAGAUAUGGAGGAACACCAGUGGCGAAGGCGACUUUCUGGUCUGCAACUGACGCUGAUGUGCGAAAGCGUGGGGAUCAAACAGG